rnacentral:lncRNA from 1 species
CUCACCGUUGCUUAAAAAUCUAUUUUGUUGUAUAAAAUGAGACAUCUCAAUUGUGUUGUAUUAGUCGUGGUAGUAUUAGCCAUGCUUUUAUGUGUCCAACCGGCUGAAAGUAGUCGAUUAUUGAGUGAUCAAGAUAUGAGAUUAAAGAAAAGAGGCAUUUUUCUGCAUGCACUUCAAAGGGGUCCUGUCCCUCCUUCUGGACCAUCAGGUUGCACCAACAUCCCCGGAGGUGGCGGCUCCGGCUGCCCAAUCAGGGAAAUGCACUUGGCUGGUGGCGGCACGCAGCCUUGAGCUGCUGCCGAUUCACAACCCAUGAAUUUAUUUGGUGCGACUAGCUCGGUACGCACAAAUAAUUAAUAAUAUCCAUUUGUUAGACUCGGAUGACAUGUUCAAUAUACUGUAAUGCACAUAAUGAUUGUGCAAAGUUUCGAUUUUUAGUACUCUUAUUCAUUUAAUUGUGUUAUUUAUUCACUUAAUUUGUAAUUUUUUUACUUUUGGGAAGGAAUUUCAAGUUUUUAGAUAUAAUCUCAGUAUUCUUUGUAAUGAGCAAGUUCGUCGAACAUGUACUCAUUUUUGUUUUACUUAUCAAGAAAAAACUCAUAUUGUAACAAUAGUUGUUAUUUUUAUUAUCCAAUUAUCAUCGUAUCAACGUAUACCUAGAUGCUUUUCACAAUCAAACAAGUUGGGUUUGUGAAA